UUGGCAACAUUACUUAUGUUUGU
rnacentral:snRNA from 1 species